AAACUCAUCCUACACUAAUCUGGAUAUCCAUCGCAUACAAACUGCGCACGACCACAGGAGCUCAGUGGAGGUUGCUGGUGAUCAGAGAGAGCUUCUCCCACCUUCUCCACUCUCUCUCUCUAGGGUUUUUCUCUCUCUAGAUAGAAGUCGCCAUUUUGCGCCGAUUUUGCGCCGCGCUCGAUUCUCGCUGGUUGGAAGACUCAAGGGAGGUCUUUGGAACGUGGGAAAGAAGGAUUUUAUCGUGUUUCCUGCGAGGUUACUGCCAGGGAAGCUGAUUUUCAGCUUUAGAGAGCAGGUCUUUGAGCCUCUUUG